rnacentral:rRNA from 1 species
GACGAACGCUGGCGGCGUGCCUAAUACAUGCAAGUUGAGCGCUGAAGGUUGGUACUUGUACCAACUGGAUGAGCAGCGAACGGGUGAGUAACGCGUGGGGAAUCUGCCUUUGAGCGGGGGACAACAUUUGGAAACGAAUGCUAAUACCGCAUAAAAACUUUAAACACAAGUUUUAAGUUUGAAAGAUGCAAUUGCAUCACUCAAAGAUGAUCCCGCGUUGUAUUAGCUAGUUGGUGAGGUAAAGGCUCACCAAGGCGAUGAUACAUAGCCGACCUGAGAGGGUGAUCGGCCACAUCGGGACUGAGACACGGCCCAAACUCCUACGGGAGGCAGCAGUAGGGAAUCUUCGGCAAUGGACGAAAGUCUGACCGAGCAACGCCGCGUGAGUGAAGAAGGUUUUCGGAUCGUAAAACUCUGUUGGUAGAGAAGAACGUUGGUGAGAGUGGAAAGCUCAUCAAGUGACGGUAACUACCCAGAAAGGGACGGCUACUACGUG